CCUACGGGAGGCAGCAGUAGGGAAUAUUGCUCAAUGGGGGAAACCCUGAAGCAGCAACGCCGCGUGGAGGAUGAAGGUUUUCGGAUUGUAAACUCCUUUUGUUAGAGAAGAUAAUGACGGUAUCUAACGAAUAAGCACCGGGUAACUCCGUGCCAGCAGCCGCGGUAAUACGGAGGGUGCAACCGUUACUCGGAAUCACUGGGCGUAAAGCGCGCGUAGGCGGGGUAGCAAGUCAGAUGUGAAAUCCUAUGGCUUAACCAUAGAACUGAAUUUGAAACUGUUAUUCUAGAGUAUGGGAGAGGUAGGUGGAAUGCUUGGGGUAGGGGUAAAAUCCGUAGAGAGCAAGAGGAAUACUCAUUGCGAAGGCGACCUGAUAGAACAUAACUGACGCUGAUGCGCGAAAGCGUGGGGAGCAAACAGGAUUAGAUACCCGUGUAGUC
rnacentral:rRNA from 1 species